GACGAACGCUGGCGGCGUGCUUAACACAUGCAAGUCGAACGGAAAGGCCCUGCUUUUGUGGGGUGCUCGAGUGGCGAACGGGUGAGUAACACGUGAGUAACCUGCCCUUGACUUUGGGAUAACUUCAGGAAACUGGGGCUAAUACCGGAUAGGAGCUCCUGCUGCAUGGUGUGGGUUGGAAAGUUUCGGCGGUUGUGGAUGGACUCGCGGCUUAUCAGCUUGUUUGUGGGGUAGUGGCUUACCAAGGCUUUGACGGGUAGGCGGCCUGAGAGGGUGACCGGCCACAUUGGGACUGAGAGACGGACCAGACUCCUACGGGAGGCAGCAGUGGGGAAUAUUGCACAAUGGGCGGAAGCCUGAUGCAGAAACGCCGCGUGCGGGAUGACGGCCUUCGGGUUGUAAACCGCUUUCGCCUGUGACGAAGAGUGAGUGACGGUAAUGGGUAAAGAAGCAACGGCUAACUACGUG
rnacentral:rRNA from 1 species